UUUGGGCUCAAGGGCAGAAGCUAGCCCAUAUAAACAUGAGGGAAAUGGGAAGGGAUCAGGUUCCCGCGUUGCAAUUCCAGUCACAUGUUUCUCAUGCUUCCAAUGAAAUUCAAGUUCAAGUUUCCCUCCUCAUCUGAAAGUUCUCCUCCGACGCACCGGAGGUUGCCUCUAGUAGCGGCGAAGCCUUAAACCACCAACAAACUAUAUCAUAUUCUUCCACUUAUUACCCUGAGUGCAUAUCCAACGUAUAAUUUUCGUAAUCCUUCACCAGUUACCCGAAUCGAAACCAAAUGUAUAAGAACCCUAACCAAUGAAAUGUAAAAUUAAACUCUACACACCUGGAAUUAAAGUCCUAGGGGUUAGGGCUUUGAUUCCCUUAGCUCAAACCUACACCCCAGUGACUAAAAUGAAGCAAACAGCGACGGAACACGAAAACUCACAGGUGAAGAAGACGCAGAGGGAGACAAACUUCGGAUGUUUAUAGGUCCAAGACAAACAUGGCCAAUGGAAGUGUAGAAGUACGGCGACAAUGGCUAUCAUUUCCUUUUCCAAUUUUGAUUCAAAACAAGUAUUAUAAAGCUAUGUAACAUGUGACUGUAAAUGGAAAUGCAAACUAUACUUAUGUAAUGAACAUUAAUCAAUGCAAUUUAUGAUUCAAGAUUAAAUCAAAUUUCACUUGUUUUGCUA